rnacentral:lncRNA from 1 species
AGAGUUUUCGAAAUUUAGACCGAAAUUUGCAAGGUUCGAGGUCAAAUAAAACUAGCAGAAGCUAAACGUCGAUACAUGACAUCAUGACGGAGACGAUCAUGACAUCAAAAAUUCCUUCCUUCGCCGUCCGAGGAAGGAUCCCACUCAACGGUCCAGCCUGGAGGGAGCUGGGUCGGCCAAGUGGUACCAACACCCAAGCU